ensembl:lncRNA
UUUCCCUAGCCAUGGAAGUGAGGGGACAUCCAGGAGCAGAGAAACGCUGUCUUUGCAAAUUCGACACCACCUCUUGCAGAGAGAAUCCAGAACAUCCAUUCUUCUUUUGAGUGAAUAAACACAGGCCCAGCCAGCACAGUUCUACUGGCUCAUAUCACGUGGGCAGGAAAAAAACGUUUCCAGACCAGCUGAGGUGGAGAAGAGGUAGCUGCCCAGAGUGAAUGUGUUGGAGAAAAUGCCCUGAAUGCAAAUGCUCAUUCUGCCAUCUCUCCCUGGACGUCUUGAGACAGAACUUUCUACCACCCUGGUGUUACUCCUCCAGCUCCUCUUUGGAGCUUCUAUCUACAUCUCUGCGUGGGCUUCCUAGAGAGCUCUAGCCG